rnacentral:rRNA from 1 species
GAUGAACGCUGGCGGUGUGCCUAAUACAUGCAAGUCGUACGCAUUCUCGUUUCUGAUUGACGUGCUUGCACCUAAUUGACGAGACAUUGGAAUGAGUGGCGGACGGGUGAGUAACACGUGGGUAACCUGCCCAGAAGCGGGGGAUAACAUUUGGAAACAGAUGCUAAUACCGCAUAAAAGUCAAAACCACAUGGCUUUGAUUUGAAAGAUGGCCUUUGUGCUAUCACUUCUGGAUGGACCCGCGGCGUAUUAGCUAGUUGGUGAGGUAACGGCUUAACAAGGCAAUGAUACGUAGCCGAACUGAGAGGUUGAUCGGCCACAAUGGGACUGAGACACGGCCCAUACUCCUACGGGAGGCAGCAGUAGGGAAUCUUCCACAAUGGGCGCAAGCCUGAUGGAGCAACACCGCGUGAGUGAAGAAGGGUUUCGGCUCGUAAAACUCUGUUGUUAAAGAAGAACGUAUCUAAGAGUAACUGCUUAGGUAGUGGCGGUAUUUAACCAGAAAGCCACGGCUAACUACGUGCCAGCCGCCGCAGUAA